GAACCGCAUCCGUAAGGCCCGGUGAUCGUCUCUCCCGUGGACGCGGGGGACACUCCGCCAGCAGUACCAGAGCGGUGGUUAUUGGCGCCCGGGCAGGUGCGGUUU
rnacentral:sRNA from 1 species